rfam:Triticum aestivum genome assembly, contig: Triticum_aestivum_CS42_TGACv1_scaffold_221108_3B
GAUGUACUCCCUCCGUCCGAAAAUACUUGUCAGAGAAAUGGAUGAAUCUAAACAUAUUUUAGUUAUAGAUACAUCUAAUUUUAUUCAUUUCUCCGACAAGUAUUUCAGGACGGAGGGAGUAAAUG